GUCAGUCCCAGAAAUUGAAUGCACACCUGCAAAUUUCAUAAUUCAUAAAAAUAUUAUGAAUCCAUUAGCAAGUAUAUAUUUUAAUCAUUAAAAGUUUGGCCCUCUGUCUUUAAUUUUAUCUGUUUUAUAAGUGAUUAUUGUAUUUACUUUCAUAAAUUCUAAAUAUAAUAUAUAAUUAGUUGUAUAGUUUCUUAAUAAUAUAAUUAACUUUAUUGUUUCAAGAUAAAGUUGUAUCCUUGCAAGAUAUACUGGUAUUAUUGGCACAAUGGGCAAGCAUUGAAGUGCAACUUGGUGAACAACAAAAUACAUCAAAUUCAGUUAUAAAAAUUUGAGUAUCAAAGGUAUGCUAAUUAUUGUAUUGCCUGAAGGAGUGUCAUUGCCAUUAAAAGCAGUGAAGAAUUCAAGUACUCAGGAAGAAAAAAGACAAGAAAAUACUUCAGUAAAUGGUAAAUAUUUUUUUAUGAUCUGUUUAUGCAUUUAGUAUGAUAUGUAGUACAAUUUAUAUACUUUAAAUAAAAUACUCUUUGAAGAUUUUUUGUAAAUGACAUUUUAUAUUAAUUUAAGUCUAAACUAAAGUUACUUUAAUUACUGCCAGGCUGUGUAUUUUUGCAAGUUAAUUAUUUGGCACAAAUUGGAGUUAAAGACGAAGGAGAUUGUAUUUGUUAUUUACUAAGAAUAGUUUAUUAAAAUGGUCUAGCUGUAAAAUUAAAUUAUGCAGGGAAAGGAUAAAAAAUUGGAAUAGGAAAAAUGUUGAUUGCAUAUGCUGCUAUUGAAACUGUGAAGUCAAUUAAGCAUGGCUUAUGCAGACAUGUUAUAGAGAUAGCGGAAGAAAAAAUAAUAAUCGUGGGCACCAAAUAUCAUAAGCUAAACACGAUUCAAUAACAAGUA